UUCGGCAAUAUCAGUAGCUAUAAUUGCAAUUUCUGCAAGAACGUAAAAUGACCAACAGAUAUAUCUAUUAUAGUGUUCGCGGCAAUUUCUGGCUAAAUCCAUACCCGUUACGGAUCCAAGUCUAAUACAUAAUGAUUGCAAAUACACAGCAAACAGAUUGGAGAGAAAAACGAUGAACAGUAACUUGUAUUGAAACCUUGAACCAGCAUCUAAAUCGGUUGAGUAGUUACCUGGAUCAAUAUAUGCAACAGCUAUAAGGAAUCCAGGGCCGAUGAACUUGCAAUACUCACGGAUUCCAUAAGUACAUUUCUUCCAAUAUUUGGAAAACCCUGUUUGAAUCCCAUAUUUGUCUUCUAAAAGAAGAUCUGUGGAUCGGCGAGUGUCAUUUUGCUCAGGAUUUAAUUCAUUGAUCGCGGUAUCUUUUUUAUUAAGAGUUGAUGAUUCUAAUGAUCUCAAAUCAUCCAAGUCAUUCAUAUAAUAGGAUUGGCUAGACAUGGGAAAAAAAUGGAUAAUUUCAAAUAAAUAAAAG